rnacentral:rRNA from 1 species
AGAAUCAACGCUGGCGGCGUGCCUCAGACAUGCAAGUCGAACGCGAAAGUCUCCUUCGGGGGACAAGUAGAGUGGCGCACGGGGUGAGUAACACGUAGGUAAUCUACCUUUGGAUGGGGAAUAACAACCGGAAACGGUUGCUAAUACCGCAUAAUGCAGCGGCACCUAAUGGUGACAGUUGUUAAAGCGGGGGACCGAAAGACCUCGCGUCUGAAGAGGAGCCUGGCGGCGGAUUGCUAGUUGGUAAGGUAAUGGGCUUACCGAGGUCUACGAUCC